CGUAGGGGGCUAGCGUUGUCCGGAAUCAUUGGGCGUAAAGCGCGCGUAGGCGGUCAGGUAAGUCCGGUGUGAAAGUCAUAGGCUCAACCUAUGGAUGCCGCUGGAAACUGCCUGACUUGAGUCCGGAAGGGGCGAGUGGAAUUCCUGGUGUAGCGGUGAAAUGCGCAGAUAUCAGGAGGAACACCGAUGGCGAAGGCAGGUCUCUGGGCCACUACUGACGCUGAGAAGCGAAAGCAUGGGGAGCGAACAGG
rnacentral:rRNA from 1 species